rnacentral:rRNA from 1 species
CCUACGGGAGGCAGCAGUGAGGAAUAUUGCUCAAUGGGCGCGAGCCUGAACCAGCGAAGUAGCGUGAAGGAUGACUGCCCUACUGGUUGUAAACUUCUUUUAUAAAGGAGUAAAGUGAGGCACGUGUGCCUUUUUGUAUGUACUUUAAGAAUAAGGCACGGCUAACUCCGUGCCAGCGGCCGCGGUAAUACGGAGGAUCCGAGCGUUAUCCGGAUUUAGUGGGUUUAAAGGGAGCGUAGAUGGGUUGUUAAGUCAGUUGUGAAAAUUUGCGGCUCAACCGUAAAAUUGCAAUUGAUACUGGCAGUCGUGAGUACAGUUGAGGUAGGCGGAAUUCGUGGUGUAGCGGUGAAAUGCUUAGAUAUCACGAAGAACUCCGAUUGCGAAGGCAGCUUACUAAACUGCCACUGACAUUGAUGCUCGAAAGUGUGGGUAUCAAACAGGAUUAGAUACCCUUGUAGUC